UAGUAGUCGGUGGUGUUCUUCCAUGUCCGUCUCCUAUUUUUCUCUCCGGUUCUCCAAAAUUCAAGCUAACUACGUUGAGUGUUGGUUGGAUUUUCCGAGGUCUUAGCCCAUUUCUAUUGGUGUAAGCAUAAUUUGUUCGAAGUUAAUUUGGCAAGAGAAUAAGGUGAAUGGGUCCAGAAAUUGAUUCAAUAACAUGUUGAUUCUUGCACAGUUUUGAAUAGCAUUAUGAUACUGAAGAGCAAAAGAUUAAUGUACGGAAGAGAUGUGUUGUUGUAGGAUGAAAGCAUGGUAAAAAAUAGUAUAAAUACAGUUAUUUAAUA